UACGUAGGGGGCAAGCGUUGUCCGGAAUUAUUGGGCGUAAAGCGCGCGCAGGCGGUCCUUUAAGUCUGAUGUGAAAUCUUGCGGCUCAACCGCAAGCGGUCAUUGGAAACUGGGGGACUUGAGUACAGAAGAGGAAAGCGGAAUUCCACGUGUAGCGGUGAAAUGCGUAGAGAUGUGGAGGAACACCAGUGGCGAAGGCGGCUUUCUGGUCUGUAACUGACGCUGAGGCGCGAAAGCGUGGGGAGCAAACAGG
rnacentral:rRNA from 1 species